CUUGGAUGGUAUAGGAAGUGGCCAAGGCCUUUAAUGAUGGUGAAUUCCUGACCAGCACACAGAAGUUUUGAUCAGCUCGAUUACAGGCACAACAUAAUUUGCUGUUUCGAGACGACUGAUCAAGGAAAUGUGAGAGAGGGCGAGACCCAAGACAGGGUAGAUGCCAGAAUCUGGGGUUAAAAAAGAAAACUACCGGAGGACAUCAGCAGGUCCGGCAGCAUCUGUGGAGGCAGAGGGAUGGUCGAUGUCUCAGACCAAGACAGUCUAUUGGGACAGGCCCCAGGACUUCAACCCAGCACAAAGUUUUAAACCGGCCUCAAAUCCACUUCAGAAAUGGGCAUCACUGCUGUACCUGCAUUCCUGAGGUCCAGUUCUCUGAAACCUUCAGGUUACUGCUAAGAACACAUCAUACAGAACUCCCAAAGGGUAAAUACGCUGGACAACAAAGAUUUUGCUUCCUGAAUACUGUCAAGUGUAUCGUAUGGAUUUUGGGCUGCUGAUCAUGAAAAUAAACAAGAAAU